rnacentral:rRNA from 1 species
GACGAACGCUGGCGGCGUGCUUAACACAUGCAAGUCGAACGGAAAGGCCUCUUUCGGGGGGUACUCGAGUGGCGAACGGGUGAGUAACACGUGAGUAACCUGCCCUUGACUUUGGGAUAACUUCAGGAAACUGGGGCUAAUACCGGAUAGGAGCUCCUGCUGCAUGGUGGGGGUUGGAAAGUUUCGGCGGUUGGGGAUGGACUCGCGGCUUAUCAGCUUGUUGGUGGGGUAGUGGCUUACCAAGGCUUUGACGGGUAGCCGGCCUGAGAGGGUGACCGGCCACAGUGGGACUGAGAUACGGCCCAGACUCCGACGGGAGGCAGCAGUGGGGAAGAUUGCACAAGGGGUGGAAGCCUGAUGCAGCAACGCCGGGGGCGGGAUGACGGCCUUCGGGUUGUAAACCGCUUUCGCUCAUGACGAAGCUUUGUGUGACGGUAGUGGGUAAAGAAGCACCGGCUAACUACGUG